AUUCUUAGUGGCGCACGGGUGAGUAACACGUGAGUAACAUGCCUCGUAGAGGGGAAUAGCCCACCGAAAGGCGGAUUAAUACCCCAUAGUCCCGCAAGGGUAAAGGUGGCCUUCGGGCUGCCGCUACGAGAUUGGCUCGCGUCCUAUCAGCUUGUUGGUAAGGUAACGGCUUACCAAGGCAACGACGGGUAGCUGGUCUGAGAGGACGAUCAGUCACACUGGAACUGAGACACGGUCCAG
rnacentral:rRNA from 1 species